AUCUGCUUCAAGGUUUUCUAUGACAUCUCAGAAGUCCUUCCUGGCAAGCUGCUCCAGAAAACCUUCUUCCUGGGUCCCCAGGGACAGGAAGAGCUGGACGUGGAGUUCCUAGUAGAAGAAACGCCCGGCCCUCCAGAAUACCUGAUCACCAACAAUGUCCUCGUGGUAACCACCUUCCCAGCCUCAGGGGCAGGACCCAGAGCAGAGGGAUGGGGGCGUGGUGCUGGAGUAAGGGCCACAGGAGAGAAAGGUUCUGGUGAGAGGCGGUCUGAGGCUGCAUGGCUGAAGGACAGUUGGGAACGUCAGGUGCUCCCUGAUGGGGCUUGGUCAUGUGUGAGGAGCUGAGUUCUUCCCUGGAGUUGUGAAGUCAUGGUGAAGCUUGGCAGGCCAGGCCCACCUUCGAGCUGCCAGUGCUGAGGGAGUUUUCAGUGCGGUAGGCGACAGAAUCAGGUCAAUCUGCUCUUCCU
rnacentral:lncRNA from 1 species